UACGGGGGGGGCAAGCGUUGUUCGGAAUUACUGGGCGUAAAGGGCGCGUAGGCGGUUCGCUAAGUUGAAUGUGAAAACUCUGGGCUUAACCCAGAGCCUGCAUUCAAUACUGGCGGGCUAGAGUUCUGGAGGGGAUAGCGGAAUUCCUGGUGUAGCGGUGAAAUGCGUAGAGAUCAGGAAGAACAUCGGUGGCGAAGGCGCUCUGCUGGACCAUAACUGACACUCAGGGACGAAAGCUAGGGGAGCGAAUGGG
rnacentral:rRNA from 1 species